rnacentral:rRNA from 1 species
UACGGAGGGUGCAAGCAUUAAUCGGAUUGAUUGGGCGUAAAGGGCGCGUAGGCGGGGAUUUAAGUCAGAUGUGAAAUCCCGAGGCUCAACCUCGGAACUGCAUUUGAAACUGGAUUUCUUGAGGAUAGGCGGAGAAAACGGAAUUCCACAAGUAGCGGUGAAAUGCGUAGAUAUGUGGAAGAACACCUGUGGCGAAAGCGGUUUUCUAGCUUAGACCUGACGCUGAGGCGCGAAAGCAAGGGGAGCAAACAGG